AGGGAGAGUAACACACAUUUAUGCUGAAGUUGGGCAACUCCAGGAUAACAGUGAUGAAUCACCCUGUGGAGACGGCAAAGGAGAAGGGACAAAGAGCAAACUAAAGAGGGGAGGUCACGCAGCUGAGGACGUCGCCACUGCAGAGAACAUCUACCAGAACUCUGAGUAGUCUUGGUGCUAGUGUCAAGAUUCAUCCAGUUAUCCAAAGAGUUUACAUACGUACAAUAGAAAACUUAUUCUGGAGCUUGAUAGACAUUUUGCCACUGCAGAGAACAUGUAGCCUACCAAAACUCUGGGUCUAGGCUAGUCUAGGCUCUAGUAUGUGAAGAUCAAUACAGUUAUCCAGCAAGUUUACACACAAUAGAUAACUUAUUUUAGAGCUUGAUAGAAUUUUUGUUUCUCAUUCAAGAAGUUGCUAACUUCAGUAGUCUGAUUGAUGUUACUGGACAUGCCCAGUAGUCCAAAGAAUUCUCGACUCGACAAAGAAGUUGCACGUCAAGACGUGAAGAUUUAUUAACGACUCUGUACAGAGCCUUUGU